rnacentral:lncRNA from 1 species
CAGGCUAGGGGUCGAAUCGGAGCUGUAGCCGCUGGCCUAUGCCAGAGCCACAGCAACGCAGGAUCCGAGCCUUGUCUGCAACCUACACCACAGGUCACGGCAACGCCAGAUCCUUAACCCACUGAGCAAGGGCAGGGACAAAAUCUGCAACCUCAUGGUUCCUAGUCAGAUUCGUUAACCACUGCGCCAUGACGGGAACUCCCCAUAUUUUGUUUAUCUAGUCAUCUUAUCAGUGGAUACCUGGGUUUACUUCCAUUUUCCUGAUUCUUUGUCAUGGAUUUCCCAUUUUCCCUGUAGCUGAAGUCUUCUGACUUUCCCUAAUAAUCAACAAAUGUAAUGUGUUCAGUCUUGUCCAUUCAUUUAUUCGUUCAGUAAAUGAUUAUUAAGCAUCCAGUAUGUGCCAGCAGCUUUCCUAAAAGACCCUGAAAUUUCUUAAUACGUGGAGUUGUGCUUUUCUGUUUGGCUGCCAAUAGUUACAUGUGGCUCUUUAAAUAGAAAUCAGAGUGAAAGAGAAUUUUAAAAUGUACUUAUUCACUUGCAGCAUCUUCAUUUCAAAUGACCAGUAGCCACACGUGGCUAGUGACCACUGUAUUCAGUGGUGCAGAUAUAAAACAUGGCUAUUACUGCAGAAGGUUCUACUGAGCAGAACUGACCUAGGGGUAUUAGGGAAAGCCACGUAGCAGUGGUAGAGUGACAACUUUCUCCUUCUGGAAACUUUCUUCUUAAAAAACAAACCUGUCAGGGUCACCUUGUGAGUGUAAGAUUGCCAUGAUUUAUUUGUCCACGUUUGAGCAAAAGGCUAGCCAUUCGGAGCCCUUCCUCAGCACUUUAGAAGAUAAACUGAACAAGGGAUUCCAAUUUCUCUUGGUCAGUGAUAAUUUUACCCCCGGGAGGCAUUUGGCAAUGUCUGGAGACAGUUUUGAUUGUCACAGCUGUGCAGAGAGGGCAGGGCUGCUGGCAUCUUAUCUGGAGGGUGGAGGCCAGGGAUGCUGGUAAACCUCCUACAAAGCAUAGGGCAGCCCUCUAUCCCACCCCAGAACAAUAGGGCCCCCAAUGCUCUUAAUUCCAAACUAGAGAUUUGUUCCUGUUCCUGGUGAGGUGGUUCCUAUUGAGAAGGGAACUGAGAAGCAUGUUUUCCAGUGUGUAGCAGAAGCUGGCAUCAGUGAGAAAGAAGGAAGCCACAGAGAAGAGAGUCCUGAUGGGAUGGGAUUCCAGCCUCUCUGCCUUGAGACAAGCCUCUUUUCUUUGUUGAGGUUCUAGGGAGAAUCUCAGUGUUAUAAAACUUUGCUCUUUCACUUGAAUUAUUUUGAAUUGGGUUUUUAGCCUUUGGGGACAUGUUCCUAAUAUGGCAAGUUAUUUAGCAGUUUCUUGUUUUACUUCUGGUCUGUGUAAAUUGAGUAUUACACUUAAGGCCAUCCUAUGAAUGCCUACACAGAGUAGACAUUCGGUGCAGCAAGGCCUUACCUGUGGCACAUGGAAGUUCCUGGGCCAGGGAUCCAACCCGAGUCACAGCACUGACAAUGCCAAGUCCUUAACCUCUCGAUCACCAGGGAACUACAUUCUGAAUGGACUGUCUCAUUCCCUAUGAAUCAAAUAUUAUUUUAAAUAAACAAAAGCUUCAUCAUACUUUACUCAUGGCCUCUGGGGUGUUGAUCCUCUUAGUCCUACUUGUUUUUGCUGGAAACCAAAGGACAUCAGUAAAAAUGCCCUUUGAAAAUCUUAUCAACUCAGCAUGAAAAGGCAACACCUGAGGAUUUUCUGUCUUAGGUAAUUUGUAAGAACUGAAAGACCUACCUGUACUUAAAGCAGGGGGAACCGAUGAUUUUUAAAAAAGACUUGAGUUUUAAUCACUUGGAAAUGGUAUGAAUUAACAUGAUUUCCCAAAAUCAGUGGCCCAAUACUUGGAUUUAAUCACGGAAGAAAUCCUAGACAGAAUGUCUGUGGUAGUGACACACUUUUGCCCUGGAGAUUUUAUUAUUUAUUUAUUUAUUUAUUAUGGCUGCACCUGCAUCAUGUGGAAGUUCCUGGGCCAGGGACUGAACCCACGCCACAGCAGCGACCUGGGCUGCUGCAGUGACAGUGCUGGAUCCUUAACCCACCCUGCCAUAAGGGAAUUUCAGUCCUGGAGCUUUUAAUCAAGAGGAGUUAAUACCUACAGAAGUGACUGAAGUGUUCUACAAAUGUAAAUUUUUUUUUAGCAUAUGCCACUAAUGGUCCCAGCCCCCUAAGAAAAAUAGUUUAGUACAGAUUCACAAACAAACUACAAAUAUAUUGUAACCCUUUCAAUGGUCUGAUUUAGAAUAUCCAUAUGCAUUUACUUUUAAAAGUGAAAAAGGAGUGUAGAUGUGGAAUAAAAAAUUCAAACAGUACAGAAAGAUAUAUAGAAGUGAAAAAUCUGUGGUUCCUUGUCUUCUCUGGUUUUCUCCAGAUGCAACCACCUUUGAUAGUUUUUGGUUCUAGAAAUUCAAACAUAGUUUUUUCCCAAGUUUCCAUUGUGACUCAGUAGUUAAGGACCUGACGUCUUGGUGAGGAUGCGGGUUCAAUCCCUGGCCUCACUCAGUGUGUUAAGAAUCCAGUGUUUUCACAAGCUGCGGCAUAGGUCACAGAUGUGGCUCAGAUCUGGUGUUGCUGUGCCUUUGGUGUAGGCCUCAGCUGCAGCUUUGAUUUGACCCCUGACCCAAGAACUUCCGUAUACCACAGGUUUGUCCUUGAAAAGAUAACAAGAAAUAAAAGUUCUCUUUCCUUUUCCCUUUCCGUCCCUCCUUUAAUAAAAAUGCACAGGGAGUUCCCAUUGUGGCACAGCAAUAACGAACCUGACUAGUAUCCAUGAGGAUGUGGGUUCAAUCCCUGGCCUCACCUAGUGGGUUAAGGAUCCAGUGUUGCCAUGAGCUGUGGUGUAGGUUGCGGAAAUGGCUUGAAUCUUGUGUUGCUGUGGCUGUAGCACAGGCCAGCAGCUGCAGUUCUGAUUUGACCUCUAGCCUGGGAACUUCCCUAUGUUGUGGGUAUGGCCCUAAAAAAAACACACAGAAAAAAUAUAUAUAGAAAACAAAGUACGUAUAUAUGUGUAUGUGUGUGUGUAUGUGCAUGUAUGUUUACACAUAUAUGUUAACGUGUGUGUGUGUGUGUGUGUGUGUGUAUACAUAUAUACCCCUGACCCAGGGAUCGAACCAAUUGUGCAGUGGUUACCCUAGCCACAGCAGUGACAAUGCCACAUCCUUAAACACUAGGCCACCAGGGAACUCCAGCUCUGUGUAUUUUUUGGUGGUCUAUACGUAUCAGUUACUGCUCCAUAUGAUUUACAACUCUAUUUUGGAGCUGUUUUUCCAUCAGUACUGAGAUUGGCUUCAUUCUUUUCAGUGACUUGGAGUUCGCCCUCUUGUCAGUGUUCCAUACAUAAUUCAUUGGACCGGUCCCCUAGCAGAUGAGCAUUAAAAUUCUUCUAGCCUUUUGUUUUUACCAAUAAUGUUGCAAUGAGUAGUAUAUUCUUUGUAUCUUGAUCUUCAUGCAGAUAUAAUUGUAUUUAUGGGAUAGAAUCCCAAUAGUGGUCUUUUCUGUUUCAAAAGGUAUUAAGUAUUGCCAAAUUGCCCUUUUACAAAGAUACACCACUUUCUACUUUUAUCGAUGAUUUAUGGCUAUGCCUAAAAUUUCAUUCUCACAUUUCCUUUCCAUCUUGUCCACCUCAUUUCUCUCUCCAACUCCCCAGCCUACCCUCAGACCCAAUCUGGAAGCUGGAAAACCUUCAGUUGAAGUGUCCAUCUCAUGGAAGUGUGUAAAACACAAAUCACAGGAGCCUUCUUGAAAGACACAAGAAACCGGUCCCCCUUGUGAGCACUGCCCGAAUUUCCUCCCAGGCCAGGGUAGGCCACACCAGUGAACACUGGCCCCUCCCCUUAAUUGCUGGCUCAGCCUCAGCUGGGUGACAUCCCUUUCGCCACUCUUUCCUGUCUUCAUUCCUUUUGGAGGCUUUUAAGGCUAGUACUCAUCUCUAGCGCCUGAAAAGUCGGAAUCUGUUCACUUGUCUUGGGUGCCUGCCAGUUCUUAAAGAUAGGCAUGGUUGGACCACUGCAUUCUUUGCCAUUUCAGAAGAAGCCGUGUCUGUUUGCAUGUACAGUGUCAAGAAACGAUUUCCAGAUGACUGCUUUGGCCUGGCAUUUCCAUUAACGCUUUCAGUGGGGAGAUGGUUUCUCUAGUUAAGCUGGCGGAGGACCAAGGUCUCCAUCCCCAGCCCCUCUCUCUUUCCCAGCCUUCCACCCCAGUUGGGGUUAUCCUGUAACUUGAUUCUAUGGCCUGUGAAUUUACCUGGGACAUUUAGAAAAAAGAUCCCUUCACCACGACAUUAUUGGCAAAUCCUUUUUUCAGUGUUCUCCCAUUUUUGAGCAGAAAACAACAUUCUGGGCUUUCCCUCGAUCUCCUGUCGAUAUUUUAUUACCAAACAUACAGUAAAGUUGAAAGAAUUUUAUAGUCAACACCCAUAUGUCUGUUAAUAGAUUCUGCCGUAAACAUUUUACUCUACUUGUUUUAUUGCAUGGCUCACUCUCCAGUUGUCAUUUUGGGCUUGUUUAGUGAUACUUCUCUGGCAUUUUAAAGGCAUUUAAAGGUGGAUGGAAUGUGAGCUCUGGAAUCCGGGUUUGAAUCCUGGCUCUGCUGUUUGAACCUUGUGACCUUGGGCAAGUUAUUAAACCUCUUUGUCGCCUCAGUGUUUUCAUCUGUAAAAUGGAAAUAAUAAUAGUGUGCCCACUUCAGGGGGUUUUGUGAGAUGAAAUGAAUCAGUUCAUGUACACAUUUAGAACAGAGGCUACAAUGUAUUAGUCAUUUAAUACGUGCCAUAAAGUAAGUGCUAAAUUAAUUUCAUGGAUUAAAAAAACAAUUUAAUAGAUUUUCUGGAUUUUAGGGAGAAGCAACUGCUUUGCCUGGUACUGGGGCCAGAUGUUUGUGUACAUUGCCUCAUUUGACCCUCAAAACAACUUUUAACAGAAUGUCCUGUUUGCAGAUGAGCAAGGUGAGGUCAGGAGGCAGGAAUGGGAUUUAAUCCCAAGUCUGUUGAACUUUAGUGGUCAUAAUCUCUGGGUUUUGCCCUUUUUCUUUUAACCACCAGAUUGAGAAAUUGCAGGAUUAUGUAAAGUGACAGAGAUUUUUAUGGUUGGGGAAAAAGCCUUCAUCUGAAUUCUGGGAAACAGGUAUAGGUACCUGAGGUUUUACCACUCUGCUGUGACCUUGAGAUGCUGAAGGUCAGUCUUGCAGAAGAAAGAACUCCUUGCUAUUUUUUGUAUCUUUUUAAAAUUCCUUUCCUUCCCAUUAGCAUUUCCAAUUCUGGAUCCUCCUGCUGUCUAGCGUUCUGGCUGACCUCCCUGGGUAGGGAUUACCUUGGGGUAUUUUGGAAUGCUGUCCUUUGUCAAUUGUUAACAUCCCACCUGCUAGACAGAACUUCAGUUGGCUGUCCAAAAUCUUCUGUGGAGAGAAGGGUAGGAAAUAGAAAGAAAUAUGUAAACUCACACCCCUGGAUGUUUUGAGGAGAAGCUUUGCCCUAGUUGGUCACUUGGGGGUGAAUGUUGUGGCCUUGAUAGUGUCUGUGCCUGGGGGAGGAAGGCUGCAGUCAGCUGGUAUGUGCAUACUUCAGGCAGUAAAGGGGAGACUGACUUUUCUGCCUCCGUUCAGAUUCAGUCAUUUCCCCCUUUCUCCUUAAUUCUAGGUGCCAAUAUGCCUUUAACAUUUGUUAAUCACCUUUUCUAUUGAGAGGCCAUAGUUUAUAAUGCCAUCGUUUUUCCUUCUUGGUGUUUGCUUUCAUAGUUACCUUAUUUUUAAAGGCAGUUGAUUCUGUACGUCUCUUUAUAGAAGUGAUAUAAAGGUUUCAUUUAAAAUAUAUUUAGGGGGAGUUCCCAUGGUGGCGCAGUGGUUAACGAAUCCGACUAGGAACCAUGAGGUUGCGGGUUCGGUCCCUGCCCUUGCUCAGUGGGUUAACGAUCCGGCGUUGCUGUGGCUCUGGCGUAGGCUGGUGACUACGGCUCCGAUUCGACCCCUAGCCUGGGAACCUCCAUAUGCUGAGGGAGCGGCCCAAGAAAUAGCAAAAAAAGACAAAUAAAUAAAUAAAUAAAUAAAAUAAAAUAAAAUACAUUUAGGGUUUCCCCUUUUGGCUCAGUGGGUUAAAUAAGGACCCAAUGUCUAUGUGAGGAUGUGUGUUCCAUCCCUGGCCUCGCUCAGUGGGUUAGGGAUCUGGGCAUUGCCUCAAGCUACGGUGUAGAUCACAGAUGCUGCUCAGAUAUGGUGUUUCCGUGGCUGUGGUAUAGGCCUCAGCUGUAGCUCCAGUUUGACCCCUCGCCAGGAACUUCUAUAAGC